rnacentral:rRNA from 1 species
UACAGAGGGGGCAAGCGUUGUUCGGAAUUACUGGGCGUAAAGGGCGCGUAGGCGGCCUGCUAAGUCGAACGUGAAAUCCCUGGGCUCAACCCAGGAACUGCGUCCGAUACUGGUUGGCUUGAAUCCGGGAGAGGGAUGUGGAAUUCCAGGUGUAGCGGUGAAAUGCGUAGAUAUCUGGAGGAACACCGGUGGCGAAGGCGGCAUCCUGGGCCGGUAUUGACGCUGAGGAGCGAAAGCCAGGGGAGCAAACAGG